GAUGAACGCUGGCGGCGUGCCUAAUACAUGCAAGUCGAACGCAUAGCGAAAGGUGCUUGCACCUUUCAAGUGAGUGGCGAACGGGUGAGUAACACGUGGACAACCUGCCUCAAGGCUGGGGAUAACAUUUGGAAACAGAUGCUAAUACCGAAUAAAACUUAGUGUCGCAUGACACAAAGUUAAAAGGCGCUUCGGCGUCACCUAGAGAUGGAUCCGCGGUGCAUUAGUUAGUUGGUGGGGUAAAGGCCUACCAAGGCAAUGAUGCAUAGCCGAGUUGAGAGACUGAUCGGCCACAUUGGGACUGAGACACGGCCCAAACUCCUACGGGAGGCUGCAGUAGGGAAUCUUCCACAAUGGGCGAAAGCCUGAUGGAGCAACGCCGCGUGUGUGAUGAAGGCUUUCGGGUCGUAAAGCACUGUUGUAUGGGAAGAACAGCUAGAAUAGGAAAUGAUUUUAGUUUGACGGUACCAUACCAGAAAGGGACGGCUAAAUACGUG
rnacentral:rRNA from 1 species